rnacentral:lncRNA from 1 species
CGUGUCUGUGUUUCGGCCAAGGGUUUGUGUUUUCGGAGCGUAUAAAUCAGUUAAAAACGCUCAGUAAUCGCCUGUUUAUCGUCGAUAAAUCCACCAGAAACACAAAUUCAGCGUCUGUAGGCAAAGAGGAGAGAAACCGAGCCUCCAGAAACUUCGAGUUAAUUCCUGCUUUGCAAACUCAACAAAACCACAGAGAAGCUGCACACUUGUAAAGAUGGCGUUUAUUAAAGAGGAGUGUGAGGACAUCAGGAUUGCAGAUGUUUUCACGCUGGUAAAAGAAGAGCCUGAGGAUCCAAUAGGUUGGUUUUCAUCCUCAUCUCAGUCAUUUCUCUUUACGUUUGGUAUAUUUACACACAUACUUCACCUGCAAUCACAUUUAAAUAAUAUUAAACUCAUGUUUAAAUCACAUUUAAAUGAUAAUAAUGCUUAGCAAAACUACCAAAAAAUGUAAUAAUAAUUAGACUAUAUAUAUAUAUAUAUAUAUAUAUAUAUAUAUAUAUAUA